AUUGCGCCAGUCCCAAGGCUGCUAAGAGGUACACCGAAGUUUAAGAGGCUACAUGCACCCUGCGUAAAGACUGGCAGAAUUCCACGCGCAACAAAAGUAACGGGUUUUAAACAGCUGAUAGGAGCCAGAGGAGACGAUGUCUUUGAUAGACCUGUAGGUCAUUGUUCUUAAAUUGCAUACGAUCAAGGGGACGGCUGGCAGAGCUCGGGCGCAGCCGGGGGAGCGCGCGCCGCCUCGCUGCCACUCACGUGACGUCAGGCUGGCCUGCGCGUGGAAGGCAGCGGACGGCC